UCCAACACAGCUUCACAAAAUCCUAUUGUAA
rnacentral:piRNA from 1 species